UACCAGCUCUCCGAGUGGUGUGGAUGUUUAUUGGGCCUAAAGCAUCCGUAGCUGGCUGGGCAAGUCCCCUGUUAAAUCCACCGAUUUAAUCGUUGGUGUGCGGGGGAUACUGUUCGGCUAGGGGACGGGAGAGGUCGACGGUAUUUUCGGGGGUAGGGGUGAAAUCCUAUAAUCCCGGGAAGACCACCAGUGGCGAAGGCUGUCGGCUAGAACGCGCCCGACGGUGAGGGAUGAAAGCUGGGGGAGCGAACCGGAUUAGAUACCCGGGUAGGUCCCAGCUGUAAACGAUGCAGGCUAGGUGUUUGGGCGGCCACGUGCCGCUCUAGUGCCGCAGAGAAGUCGUUAAGCCUGCCGCCUGGGGAGUACGGCCGCAAGGCUGAAACUUAAAGGAAUUGGCGGGGGAGCACCACAAGGGGUGAAGCUUGCGGUUU
rnacentral:rRNA from 1 species